rnacentral:rRNA from 1 species
UACGUAGGGGGCAAGCGUUGUCCGGAAUUAUUGGGCGUAAAGAGCUCGUAGGCGGUUUGUCGCGUCUGCCGUGAAAGUCCGGGGCUCAACUCCGGAUCUGCGGUGGGUACGGGCAGACUAGAGUGCGGUAGGGGAGACUGGAAUUCCUGGUGUAGCGGUGAAAUGCGCAGAUAUCAGGAGGAACACCGGUGGCGAAGGCGGGUCUCUGGGCCGUAACUGACGCUGAGGAGCGAAAGCUAGGGGAGCAAACAGG